UAGCUCAGUGCCAUAGCAUGUGCCUGACAAGCACAUGACCCUGAGUUUAAUUCCCAG
rnacentral:tRNA from 1 species